rnacentral:rRNA from 1 species
AACGAACGCUGGCGGCAGGCUUAACACAUGCAAGUCGAGCGCCCCGCAAGGGGAGCGGCAGACGGGUGAGUAACGCGUGGGAACGUACCCUUUGCUACGGAAUAGCUCCGGGAAACUGGAAUUAAUACCGUAUGUGCCCUACGGGGGAAAGAUUUAUCGGCAAAGGAUCGGCCCGCGUUGGAUUAGCUAGUUGGUGGGGUAAUGGCCUACCAAGGCGACGAUCCAUAGCUGGUCUGAGAGGAUGAUCAGCCACAUUGGGACUGAGACACGGCCCAAACUCCUACGGGAGGCAGCAGUGGGGAAUAUUGGACAAUGGGCGCAAGCUUGAUCCAGUCAUACCGCGUGAGUGAUGAAGGCCUUAGGGUUGUAAAGCUCUUUCACCGGAGAAGAUAAUGACGGUAUCCGGAGAAGAAGCCCCGGCUAACUUCGUGCCAGCGGCCGCAGUAAAAC